CCCACGGCUCACGCCGUGGGCUACUCCCUGCCGGCCCUCCGGGCCU
rnacentral:sRNA from 1 species